GUAUCAAUCACUAUGUCACGGGAAAUGUGUGGGUCAACAAUUUGCAUUCAGGGUUGGAGGACUGAUGUAGAUUAUUCAGUUCCACUGCAGAUCUGUGAUAUUCACUGUGGUUUUUGUGAUCAGACAUACAGUGAUAGAAAUCCAGAAAAGGCCAUGACACACAGAAUGAAGAGUGUGCAUUCCUUGCACUGAAUUUAAGAACACAUUUUCAAGGUUCUUAGUAUCUUUUCACCAUCAAGCUGCAUUUUGGUUUAACUUGCAAAUCUUGUCUAACUGGUCAUCUCUCAUGUUAGUAGUUUCUGCUAAAUAAUGAGAUUGUUCACAUGAAUGAAGAAUUUAGCAAGCUAAACCUAACAUAUCCAAAAGAAGAUGUAUUAUUGUGCCUCAUUUCCCAAUAUUUC
rnacentral:lncRNA from 1 species